rnacentral:lncRNA from 1 species
AAGAGCAUCAGAGUGUUUUGCAGGAAGUACAUUAAUAGUAACUGUUCCAACCACCACUUCCACCCUGCACCUACGGGGGUAGAAGCAGCUUAACAAGUUGGAUUUCCCAACCUAUGAAUCAGAGAAAGCAUAUGCUAAAGGCAUUCCUAAUGUUUCCUUGAAUUUGGGGAUAUCAUGGUGGACAGGGGAGGGGUUGGAGGAUGAGGUAGAAGAGAAAAUAGAAUUCUUUGCAUUCGAGGAAUGAGUUUUCUGCCUAUGUGGAGGGAGAGACUCAAGCUAAACAUUUAAUAUGCUGCACAAAUAUGUCUGUUUCUUCAUCGAUAAAUGAAAUGGAACUGAAGCUGGAUGAUUAAUUCAGAAUACAGAGGAAAGGCCAUAUGGGGACACGGGGAGAAGGUGACCAUCUGCAAGCCCAGAAGACAGCCCUCACCAGAAACAGAAUUGGCUGUCACUUUGAUCAUGGAACUUCUAGCUCCAGAACUGUGAGAAAAUAAAUUUAUCCUGUUAAAGCCACCAAGUCCAUGGUAUUUUGUUAUGGCAGCCUGAGCAGAUAGAUCACACACACCUACCUACACACCACAUUAUCUUUUUCCUUUUUAUAACAAUAAAUGCAGCACACAUCCCUGCACUUUGAAUUUUCCAGCUGACAAUGUCCUUGAGAUUUCCAUAUAAGGACAUAAAGAUCUCAUUCUUUUCAUUUUGUUUUUGACACCAGCAUAAUAGUUUAUUGAAUGGAUAUGCCAUGAUUUAUUUCACUUGUCCCUUAUUAACAAACAUUUAAGCUUUUCCAACUUGCCAGCACAAACAAUUCUCCAAUAAAUAACCCUCAUGAAUAUAUAAUUUUUCACAUGCCACUUAGGAUUUUUUAAAAAUAUGAAUCAGUUGCCAAUGUUUAAAAGUAAGGAGCUUUCAUGUACAACCUGGAUUUGUUACUUUUCUUGAAAGAGCAGAUCUGAGGAUACUGGUCCACAUUCUCCCCUGGUGCUGGAGCUAAGAAGUCACUGUCUGGUUCAGAUGGGGCUCACAAUCUCCUGAUCGCCAUUGCCACUAACAUGUCUCACUCCCUCACCACUGUUACUGAUCAGGCUCCAACAGGCAUGGGAGUUUUUGACCCUAGUCUAGAUUCUCUGGUGCCACUGUACCUUGAGUCAAAUGAUCAGAAACCAUAGUAACAAUGUACCAGCUUAGCUCAUUCUCAUUGCUUUCUCUAAAAAAGAAAGAUUAAAAAAAAUCCUUACUGAGUUAAAAUGUAAUAUUAUGCUUCUGCCUCUAUAGAAGGAUGAAAUAAGAAUUCUCUGUUUAACAAGGAUUUUAAUGGUUUUUAUAAGGGCUGUCAUUGAAGAUACCGUCCACUGUGUUAAAGUUCUUUAUAUAAAUUCUCAUUCCAUAAAUGUCUGCUUAGGUUUGAUUUUAGAUUUUUUUUUUAAAAAAGUAUCUUUGGGCGAAUGUAUAUAAUUUCUUUUGUCAGAAAGU